CUACGUGCCAGCAGCCGCGGUAAUACGUAGGUCCCGAGCGUUGUCCGGAUUUAUUGGGCGUAAAGCGAGCGCAGGCGGUUAGAUAAGUCUGAAGUUAAAGGCUGUGGCUUAACCAUAGUACGCUUUGGAAACUGUUUAACUUGAGUGCAAGAGGGGAGAGUGGAAUUCCAUGUGUAGCGGUGAAAUGCGUAGAUAUAUGGAGGAACACCGGUGGCGAAAGCGGCUCUCUGGCUUGUAACUGACGCUGAGGCUCGAAAGCGUGGGGAGCAAACAGGAUUAGAUACCCUGGUAGUCCAUGCCGUAAACGUUGGGCACUAGGUGUGGGGGACAUUCCACGUUUUCCGCGCCGUAGCUAACGCAUUAAGUGCCCCGCCUGGGGAGUACGGCCGCAAGGCUAAAACUCAAAGAAAUUGACGGGGGCCCGCACAAGCGGCGGAGCAUGCGGAUUAAUUCGAUGCAACGCGAAGAACCUUACCAAGGCUUGACAU
rnacentral:rRNA from 1 species